rfam:Bacillus niacini strain DSM 2923, whole genome shotgun sequence.
AUAAAUUUAUAAGGUUUCACUCAUAUAAUCGCAGGGAUAUGGCCUGCAAGUUUCUACCGGAUUGCCGUUAACAAUCCGACUAUGAGUGGGUAAUGUUUAUGA